AAAAUAUUUACAUGCGUAAUUUCAACUUUUAUUGUUAAAAGGUUAGUUAAAAAGGGUGUAAAACAAAAAGGAAUGAAUAAAAAAGUAGUAGAGAGAUCUCAUAGGCAAGCCUUGCAGAAAAUAACCUGUGGCUAUGCACGUGAGCAUGCACACCUGUGAAAUAGUGUUCACAUGCCUGUGCAGGGCAAAAGCUGCCUGCUAAUAGUGUUACCU
rnacentral:lncRNA from 1 species